rnacentral:rRNA from 1 species
GUCGAGCGGGGAAGGUUGCUUCGGUAACUGACCCUAGCGGCGGACNGGUGAGUAAUGCUUAGGAAUCUGCCUAUUAGUGGGGGACAACAUUCCGAAAGGAAUGCUAAUACCGCAUACGUCCUACGGGGGAAAGCAGGGGAUCUUCGGACCUUGCGCUAAUAGAUGAGCCUAAGUCGGAUUAGCUAGUUGGUGGGGUAAAGGCCUACCAAGGCGACGAUCUGUAGCGGGUCUGAGAGGAUGAUCCGCCACACUGGGACUGAGACACGGCCCAGACUCCUACGGGAGGCAGCAGUGGGGAAUAUUGGACAAUGGGCGCAAGCCUGAUCCAGCCAUGCCGCGUGUGUGAAGAAGGCCUUUUGGUUGUAAAGCACUUUAAGCGAGGAGGAGGCUCCUUUAGUUAAUACCUAAAGAGAGUGGACGUUACUCGCAGAAUAAGCACCGGCUAACUCUGUGCCAGCAGCCGCGGUAAUACAGAGGGUGCGAGCGUUAAUCGGAUUUACUGGGCGUAAAGCGUGC